UCCAGGGUAGUUUAGCUGGUAAAGAAUCUGCCUGCAAUGCAGGAGACCCUGGUUUGAUUCCUGGGUCAGGAA
rnacentral:tRNA from 1 species